AUCCGCCGUCCGUGCGCAUCGUCAAGAAGUUCAUCACAACAUCAGUCCGCCAUCUUUCACAGCGCAGUAUCAUAUUUUUUAAAAAGGAUUCUUCGGAGAUUUAUUGCUUUAUUUAAAAAGGAAAUCGGAUAUCAGGAAUCCCUGACGAAACCCGAAUAUUCGGAAUCCCCAACUCGGGAGUUCUUUUGUGCAGACAUUGCGGCACCCAAAACUACGUUAAAAAAAUCGUUCCGGGCGAUGAGAAGCGGCCAAGAUUCCACCCCUUGCAAUCCGUAGAAAGUGAUUCGUCCUCGGAAGCCUUUUUCCUCGGUCUUCAGUAAUCCCGUUCGGAAUGCAUUUUCUAGAAAAAUCAGAAACCAAUUGACACCGUGGGCACGAUUUGUAGGACAAGUAUCUCAAGGAUCGUAUAUCGGUCGCAUGAUUGGUUGCACACUCAUCACAUCGGCGGGGUGUAUGUUGGAGGCACCGGAAAUUGAAGGGAUUUUUUCAUCAUUCAACUAGUCCAGAGCUAGCUGAUGUUAAAUAUUUUCUAAAGCUAGUCCGGAAUUUGCAUGAAAAAUGAAGACUUUACCAUUUAAAGUGACACUGAAGAAAUGCAAACAAAUAGGAAUAUUUUCUCAAGUUUUCGUUGUGAACGACAGAAGAAAAACUUUGAGCCAGAAUCAUCCUCGUACUAACACAAUCGAGAAGGCUGCGCAACAAAAUUGCCGUGUUCGAGCCACAUUUGAUGAAGAGUCUGCGUCUCUCCCACCAAGCUGCAGGAAAAAUAUGAACGCUGGGUUAACUUUGUACCGAAAGUGUCCGUUCUGGAGCAGAACACCAUCAAUCUUGAUCCGAGAUCGAGGAGUUGUUGGACUUCAACAACAUUAUUGUCCAGAUCACGAAUCCUUCCGCACAAUGUUACAAUCGACGCAACAAAGUUUAUGCAAAUAUUUUGAUUUAGUCGGGAAGCACAAUCAAUUUUGAUUUCCCCUCUGUCGGAAGUCGGAAGCCAAAACGUUUCUCGCCAAGUGGAAAUUGUAGUAAUCAGCGAGUGGAACAUGCCGCCCUGACUUUUGAAGGGAUUCAUCCAGCGAACCUUGGAUAGUGCAUAGUAGCACAGGUAUAUGAGCGUAUGACGUCACCCAAGACCCAUGAAGCGGAUUCCGAGCCGCUCGGCUAUGUUGUUUUC